rnacentral:lncRNA from 1 species
AAAAUCGGACAAUUUAGGAUAACGUAGAAAAAAAUCGUGUUUGGUAAAAGUUAUAUAAACUUAAUUUGAACCAAUUCAUAUAGGGGGAAGGAAGAAAUGAACGUAGACAUGUAUGCCUUGGUGAAUCUUGGGUAUGAUCACUUUUGAAUUAUUGAAGAAAAAAAAAAGAAUAAAAGUGUUAGAAAAGAAUAAAUUGGCAUUAUAAUAAAGAAUAAAUUCUAAGUGAAUUUAGUUGUAUAUAGUUUUUGUAACACUUUAAUAUUGUCCGCG